rnacentral:misc_RNA from 1 species
UCCGAGUUGACCCCGGCAGUCUCCUAUGAGUCCCCACCAUAACGUGCUGGCAACAUAGGACGAGGGUUGCGCUCGUUGCGGGACUUAACCCAACAUCUCACGACACGAGCUGACGACAACCAUGCACCACCUGUGCACGGCCCUUACGGACCCCGCAUCUCUGCGAGAUUUCCGUGCAUGUCAAGCCUAGGUAAGGUUCUUCGCGUUGCAUCGAAUUAAACCACACGCUCCACCGCUUGUGCGGGCCCCCGUCAAUUCAUUUGAGUUUUAAUCUUGCGACCGUACUCCCCAGGCGGGAUGCUUCAUGCGUUAGCUGCGCCACUGACAGGCAAGCCUGCCAACGGCUGGCAUCCAUCGUUUACGGCGUGGACUAC